CCAUUACCCACACAAAUAACGUAUCUAAAAACCUAAAGAAAAAUCCCCUUCUCUCAAAUAUCCAUGGCUUGUAGUUGCAGAAUCUAUCUUAACAUUGAAUUUGAUUUACUUCCAAAUGUACCACCUGGUUUAUGUGACUCGUUUUAAUGCCUAUUGUAAUAUGACUUACAUCUCUUUCUCCUCAUUAUUCUUUCUGCCAAUAUCAUCUGCACAUUGCAAUCUGCACGUAGCCAUUUUUAACCUCAAUUCAGAGCUCUUUUCACUCACAAUGGUCAGCUCUCACUCUUUCCCUUAAUCCAUUCCCCUAAUUCCCUUAAACCCUUCCCUUAAUUCUCUUUAUUUUUCAAGUGAAACGAAAAUUCACUUUUUUUUGUUGCCCAAAACAAGCUCAUUCUCGUUUAUCACUGAUCUUGGGUUGUAUGGUUGAGGUUAUCACUUGUAGAAAAAAUUAUGCAUUUUGGGUUUUAGGUUUAGCUGAAUUGAAAUAGUUGGCGUAGUAUUUUUUCGUGAUCUCUCUGAUUGUCGCAGAAUCGAUCAAGAAUUGACUAAGAAAAGAAGAUCAUGGAC
rnacentral:lncRNA from 1 species